AUGCCCAUGCAGUUUCCAGGGGCUGACAAGAUUAGAUGGUAUCAAUCAGCAAGGUGCAGCUUAGAAGUACAGGCUCCCCCGCUCUCGUUUCUGGGGAAGAGAAGAGGGCAAGGCUUCUCCAAUUUCAAUAGCUUUGUAGAAGAGUACGUUUCGGGCGAUGCUGCCUGUGUUGUAAACUACAUCUGCCAAAAUCAGCUCUUUUUCUACAGAGGCUUUCGUGGUGCAGGGACCAUGCCUUCGUUUCCCCGUGGCAACCUUGAAAAAUGCGCCCUUUCCUCGUCCUCUCGCUUCUUCAGAGGUUGGCGUGCCUUACUUUUGCGGGCGAAAUUCAACCCAAACCGUAAACCCCUCUCUGAAAGGCUGUUUUAGUUGUAUCCGGUGGGAAUAUAUAAACUCCAACUGGAAAUGAUAAGGAAAAUUGGAAAGAUCCUAACCUCUCUCUUUUCUUCCAUGGAGUCCAAACCUGCAAAUAUUUAUUUGGACGGAAGCCCUUUUGCGUUCAGUAUGGCUCCCUUCUAAUAAGUUGACUAGAACAAUAAUUACAUUGCGUGAAAGCGGGGAGUGAAAGAAGGGAGUUGGGCUUUUGUGCUGUCUUCUAAACAGUGCUGAUCCCCGGGCUGUGCUCUGGAAUCCAUGCCUUGAUUUCUCCAUCAGUGUCUGUAGGUUGGAAAUUGCAAUAUCUGGUGCCUAAAGGAACAACUUUGCUCAUCUAGGAUACACGGGAAGGGGGUAAAAAACAGCCAAGUUUCCUGCUUGUAGCAGCCAGUUGCUUGCAUGUAGUCUAGCAAGUUUACCUGCUUUGUGCAGGUAUCUUGUCCCUCCCUUUGUUUCUGUCGCCGUGCAAAAAGCUUACUGCUUCCCAGAGAAGCGUCGGAGCGGUUUUGCCUUUGACCUAAAUAGGUGUCGAUGGAACUGGCUCUGAAGACUUGAGUUACACUCUUGAGUGAUUUUUGCCUUUCCUGUUUUCAGACGGAUGCUGGCUUUUGUAACUGUUUUGGUUCCUGUUUCCCAAUAAACCUUUUGUAUUUUUCCGUUGAGAAGACCUA
rnacentral:lncRNA from 1 species